AUGAUGAUGACGCGUGUGUGUGUCUCUCUCUCUGUGUGUAAUGACGCAUUAGUGAGUUAAUUAAAGGACAGUAAACAGAUAAGACGGCAAAGAGACGGAACUGAAAACAAAAAGACACAUCCAACGGCUCAUAACAUCUCUCAAGUCUAAUCCUGGCCUUCGAUUGCGACACGUUUCUCUCUCCGACAAACCAUAACCAAGCGUUUUUGUUAUCCGUACUCUCUUCACUUCAUCUCUGUUUCACCCUUUUCCUCUUCUUCUUCUUCUUCUUCCAUCUAAAUCUACAAUGCCUUCGAAUUCUAUACAUUCUAGUGUUUACUUACAUUUCCCUAUAUAAUCAAUCUCUCUUCUAAGUUUCGAAAUAUAGAAAGAGAAAGAGGCAGCCGACACAUGUAUGCUUUGCAUGAAAGAGAGAGAGAGAGAUUAAGUUUUAAAUAAGCUUGUUUUAUAACUUUGUUUCUAGCUGCAAUUUUGAGUUUAUCUCCUUUACCUUUGUUUCUAGAUUCAGUUCUUUUUUUAAAGAAUCAAACAAAAUCUAAGGCUGGGAGAAGAAACCCUAACUUGCAGUGUCCGUACUUAGAUUUAUACUUUCCUUUUAUGGAUCCAUCGAUCAAGUCUUUGUUGGUUGCUGUUUGUUCCCAGAUUUGAUCUCAGAACUCUAGCACACAUGAAUUGUCUCUACCCUCAACGUCACAAAGUGAGUCAAAGUUAUGCAGAUUGCACUUGUAUCCAUGGAAUCAGAUUGGUAUUAACGGCGAGAAUUUUGGAAUUGAUGCGCUUAAUAUUUUGGGCAUUGCAGCUUCUAUGUAAGUUAUGUGAAUAUUUAUGAUUCUAAUUAAGGUCUUUAAUAGAUAUGUGAAAUCAAAAGGCUAGGGAUAAUCAGUUAAAGAUAAAUGGAAGCUGCCACUGAAACACAAGUAUGAACUUCUGAUUAUUCUACCACUAAGUUCUUUGUUGGGCCUUGAGUAAAAUAUUAGGUGAAUAGUUGAAUAGUGGGAAAUUGGGAUAGUCGGAUAAGGAAAACACUUAAGCUAGAGAGUUUUUGUGAAAGAUAUUAUAAAAGUUCAAGAACUGGUAACGUUACAUUUCUUUUUUCUAGUUAUAUAUUUAGUUCAUUCAUUGUGGAAUCAUUUGUCAAGAUGUGAGUAUUUAUUUCACAUUGGUAUCUAUGUUGGAAUACGAUUAUGCUAUUUUGAGCAUUGAGUCUCUUAUGUUUCCAUUAAUCCCUCUACACAUAUGUGUAUGUGCAGUAAUCUUUAUGCAUAUACAACUGUUGACGUUUCUCAUAGGUAUGAUGACUCACAUAUGUGUUAAAAAGGAUAUGGAUGUCUAUUUUGUUUACUCGUAUAUUUGGUCAAAGGACUGAAACAAGAACAGAACACACUGUGUAACUUUUGGACUAUUGUGUUAUGAAAGAAGUUUUUUUGUCUUCUUUUUGUCCAAUUGUGUACAUUAUGGAUCUGUGAUGCAUUACAUAAACCCCAUUCAUCUCGAGAUCAUUUAAUU